rnacentral:lncRNA from 1 species
GACCGUACACCUGUCACGUCGAUUUUUUUAUUAUUUUUCGAAAAAAAAAGAAAGAGUGGGGGCCAAAAGAAGGAAAAAGCCGGGAAAUCGAAGACGGACACGUGUCGGGCUCCUCUUGGCGUACAGAUUGGUGCACGUGGGGCCCCACGCCCCGGCCGAGGAACGAGCCAGGGCAUCUUCGCCGCACUCAUGGCAGCACGAUCGCGCGUGAUUUGCACGACACGCGAUGGCCGCUUACCUUCCGCACGCCGCCCCCCUCCCCCCCCCGGGGGGGGGAAAUCAAGCCCCACUCGCCGCGAUCCGGCGGUGUCCUCCACGCGCCGCGGCCGUCGGGGAGCGGCGCACGCGACCGGCCAUUCAUCUGGCACGGCGGCGCGUGAGGGGCUGCCGCCGCGAAACUGAAGGAGCCGGUCGCUUUCGUGGACCAGAUCCGAAGCGUCAAACGGGGCACGACGUCGCUUUUACGACCCGGACCGAGAAAAAAAAAAAAUAAAUUGCCAAUUAUUACUUUUCACCCCUCGCCCCACGCCAAAGACGACGACCCCCGUCGGUCGUUUUUACACCGUCCUCUUUCCCCACCGAGACGCGUUCUUGCGCUUCUCUUCCUCGACCCCGAAACGACGCAAGGCGACACGCGUUUUUCUUCCCCUUCCGAAAAAUCCCCGGCUGGGCCCCGCCAACAGAAAAACCACAGCUGUUGUACCAACGAAAUCGCCAGCUGUGCACCCCGGGCAGCUGCCCGUGCAGCCCGCUCUCUCUUUCUAUAUAUAUGGGCGCUCUGCACCAGCUUUGUUUUUACUCUGCCUACUCUCUUGCACUCGAAAACCCUAGCUCUCUCUCUGUCUCUCAAGCUCUCCUAACCUCUCUCAAACCUCGAGAUCGCGACAAUGGCGGCCGUGAAGUUCGCGAACGUGGCCGCGGUGGCCCUCCUCGUCGCCGCCAUGGCGGUCGCCGCGACCGCCCAGGAGGCGCCGGCGCCCAGCCCCGUCUCCCCGGCCAGCUCCGUCACCCCGUCCAUCCUCUCCGCCGGAGUGGCUGCCGUCGCGGCCCUCGUCUUCGGGUCAGCACUCAGGAUCUGAAGCGGCGCGCCGAUCUUCCGGAGCACGGGGACAGAGAUUUUUUCUAUAUAGUUUCCGGGUGUCUGCAGCACUCUAUUAUCACUAGUAGCCGUGGUAGGGAUGAUAUAUUUACGGUGGUUGUUCUGAUGUGGGUUUUCUCUCUAGGCGAUUUUUUUACUCGGUGGAUCCGGGAGUCCCUUCCUUCCUCCUUCGUUGGCGUCGCUGCUGUGUGUUCUUUUCCUGGUUUGAGAGUCUUUUGAGUCGAGUACAUACUCCUGGUGGUGCUUCUGCUUCUUAGUUAGAGAGAGUCUCGUGCACAGUCGUGAUGAUGUCAUAGAUCUAUUGCUUUAUCAUGUACCUCAGACAUAUAUAUUUCCACAUAUAUAUAUUAUUAUAAAUAACAGAUUCGUUUCAUGAAACUUCUCCUUCUUCUUCAUCCUCUUACUCAAUGUCGCGAUCUUGAUGCGUGUCGUCUGUCGAUGUGGUUAUGGCUUCGAAAAAAAAAGGGUAGAAUUCCACGGGAAAGGGACUUCCUUUCGGGAGUGGCGCUUGCGUGAGAACAGUGAAUGCUUCGUGGGUGCGUU